GUCCCUCCUUCCUACCUCCCCCGCCCCCUUACUUUCCUCUAGACUGUAAGACAUCUUUUAUUGUUCACAAACCCCAGCCCACUUACAGAGACCAUAAAUGUAGAAAUUUAGGGAACACCACUAGUUGACUAUAUAGUAAUCAUCCUCAUCCCCUUCCACUCCAAGAGCAUCUCUUUUUGCUGCACAACUCAGGAAGUUACCCCUACCCUUAUCUCCAAUGGUAUAAUUUGACUCAUUUAAGCCAGUUGUAAUAAUUCUAUCAUCUUGCCUGUGAUUGGAUCAGGAACGAAGCAGCUACGGAUGGGUGACAGAGGAGCACCCUGUAUCCAGCAUCAGCAGAGCCCGGGUCUUUGUUAGGAGUUAAGGAGAUUGAUGGUGUCUAGUCGCUGUGGUAGGAGAUCAGCCAGCAGCCCGGGCUGACGGCCAGGUCCUGCUGUCUGCACAGGAAGGUGACCUUCACCAGUUAGGUUGCUGCUCUGGAAUUCUCUGUGCCCCUAGCCGGUCUUAUGUUCUACUGCAACAAGUUUGUCAUUUUAAAGAUGAAAUAUCUUGUAUAUAGAAGGAUGGCUAAGACAUUCAAUGUUAGGGCAAAAUUAAAGAAAAACUCUGGCUUCCCAAGCCCCCAAAUGAUGUGAACCAAAUAAAACUUUGAAAUCCA